CCUACGGGCGGCAGCAGUGGGGAAUAUUGGGCAAUGGGCGCAAGCCUGACCCAGCAACGCCGCGUGAAGGAAGAAGGCUUUCGGGUUGUAAACUUCUUUUCUCAGGGACGAAGCAAGUGACGGUCCCUGAGGAAUAAGCCACGGCUAACUACGUGCCCGAAGCCGCGGUAAUACGGAGGUGGCAGGCGUUAACCCGAUUUACUGGGUGUAAAGGGCGGGUAGGCGGGGACGUAAGUCAGAUGUGAAAACCACGGGCUCAACCUGGGGCCUGCAUUUGAAACUGUGUGUCUUGAGUACUGGAGAGGCAGACGGAAUUCCUAGUGUAGCGGUGAAAUGCGUAGAUAUUAGGAGGAACACCAGUGGCGAAGGCGGUCUGCUGGAUAGCAACUGACGCUGAGGCGCGAAAGCGUGGGUAGCAAACAGGAUUAGAUACCCUAGUAGUC
rnacentral:rRNA from 1 species